GAUGAAGAACGUAGCGAAAUGCGAUAAGUAGUGUGAAUUGCAGAAUUCAGUGAAUCAUCGAAUCUUUGAACGCAUCUUGCGCUCCUUGGUAUUCUGAGGAGCAUGCCUGUUUGAGUGUCAUUUCAAGUUCUCAACCACAUCAAUUUCAAUGUGGCUUGGAUGGUGGGGGUUCUUUUUGCAGGCUUCUGUAAAUAUGAAGUCGGCUCCCCUGAAAUGUAUUAGUGGUAUCUGAGCUACUACAGGUGUGAUAACUAUCUAUGCCUUGGUAUGCUGCAUGAAACAGAUUGCGCCGCUUCUAACAAGUGGGAAACACAAUUUUGAUGAAUUUGACCUCAAAUCAGGUAGGACUACCCGCUGAACUUAAGCAUAUCAAUAAGCGGAGGA
rnacentral:misc_RNA from 1 species